rnacentral:misc_RNA from 1 species
GAUGAAGAACGCAGCGAACGUGCGAAACGUAAUGUGAAUUGCAGAAUUCAGUGAAUCAUCGAAUCUUUGAACGCAUCUUGCGCUCCUUGGUAUUCCGAGGAGCAUGCCUGUUUGAGUGUCGUGAAAUACUCUCAAUUUCAAUCUUUUUGUUUGAAAUUGGAUUUGGGCGUUGUCGUGAAUUCACGACUUGCCCUAAAUGCAUUAGUGAUCCCUGUCUUUGAUCACACAAUGUGAUAAUAAAAAAACAUUGUUACAGUCGAGUCAAGGUUGCUUCUAACUGUCUGUCACCAGACAACCAUUACAUGUCAUUUGACCUCAAAUCAGGUAGGACUACCCGCUGAACUUAAGCAUAUCAAUAAGCGGAGGA